rnacentral:rRNA from 1 species
GACGAACGCUGGCGGCGUGCUUAACACAUGCAAGUCGAGCGGUAAGGCCCUUUCGGGGGUACGACGAGCGGCGAACGGGUAGAGUAACACGUGGGUGGACCUCGCCCUCCAGCUCUGGGAGUAAGCCUGGGAAACGUAGGGUCGUAAUACUGGAUAUGACUCCACGGUGCAUGUCGUGGGGUGGAAAGCCUUGUGCGGCUGAGGAUGGGCCCGCGGCCUAUCAGCUUGUUGGUGGGGUGAGGCCUACCAAGGCGACGACGGGUAGCCGGCCUGAGAGGGCGACCGGCCACACUGGGACUGAGACACGGCCCAGACUCCUACGGGAGGCAGCAGUGGGGAAUCUUGCGCAAUGGGCGAAAGCCUGACGCAGCGACGCCGCGUGAGGGAUGACGGGCCCUUCGGUU